rnacentral:rRNA from 1 species
GAUGAACGCUGGCGGCGUGCCUAAUACAUGCAAGUCGAGCGAACGGACGAGAAGCUUGCUUCUCUGAUGUUAGCGGCGGACGGGUGAGUAACACGUGGAUAACCUACCUAUAAGACUGGGAUAACUUCGGGAAACCGGAGCUAAGACCGGAUAAUAUUUUGAACCGCAUGGUUCAAAAGUGAAAGACGGUCUUGCUGUCACUUAUAGAUGGAUCCGCGCUGCAUUAGCUAGUUGGUAAGGUAACGGCUUACCAAGGCAACGAUGCAUAGCCGACCUGAGAGGGUGAUCGGCCACACUGGAACUGAGACACGGUCCAGACUCCUACGGGAGGCAGCAGUAGGGAAUCUUCCGCACUGGGCGAAAGCCUGACCGAGCAACGCCGCGUGAGUGAUGAAAGUCUUCGGAUCGUAAAACUCUGUUAUUAGGGAAGAACAUAUGUGUAAGUUACUGUGCGCCUCUUGACAGUACCUAAUCAUAAAGCCACUGCUAACUACCUGCCAGCAGACGCGGUAAUACGUAGGUGGUAAGCGUUAUCCGGAAUUACUGGGCGUAAAGCGCGCGUAGGCGGUUUUUUAAGUCUGAUGUGAAAGCCCACGGCUCAACCGUGGAGGGUCAUUGGAAACUGGAAAACUUGAGUGCAGAAGAGGAAAGUGGAAUUCCAUGUGUAGCGGUGAAAUGCGCAGAGAUAUGGAGGAACACCAGUGGCGAAGGCGACUUUCUGGUCUGUAACUGACGCUGAUGUGCGAAAGCGUGGGGAUCAAACAGGAUUAGAUACCCUGGUAGUCCACGCCGUAAACGAUGAGUGCUAAGUGUUAGGGGGUUUCCGCCCCUUAGUGCUGCAGCUAACGCAUUAAGCACUCCGCCUGGGGAGUACGACCGCAAGGUUGAAACUCAAAGGAAUUGACGGGGACCCGCACAAGCGGUGGAGCAUGUGGUUUAAUUCGAAGCAACGCGAAGAACCUUACCAAAUCUUGACAUCCUUUGACAACUCUAGAGAUAGAGCCUUCCCCUUCGGGGGACAAAGUGACAGGUGGUGCAUGGUUGUCGUCAGCUCGUGUCGUGAGAUGUUGGGUUAAGUCCCGCAACGAGCGCAACCCUUAAGCUUAGUUGCCAUCAUUAAGUUGGGCACUCUAAGUUGACUGCCGGUGACAAACCGGAGGAAGGUGGGGAUGACGUCAAAUCAUCAUGCCCCUUAUGAUUUGGGCUACACACGUGCUACGAUGGACAAUACAAAGGGCAGCGAAACCGCGAGGUCAAGCAAAUCCCAUAAAGUUGUUCUCAGUUCGGAUUGUAGUCUGCAACUCGACUACAUGAAGCUGGAAUCGCUAGUAAUCGUAGAUCAGCAUGCUACGGUGAAUACGUUCCCGGGUCU